rnacentral:rRNA from 1 species
CCUACGAGAUGCAGCAGUGAGGAAUAUUGGUCAAUGGACGAGAGUCUGAACCAGCCAAGUCGCGUGAAGGAUGACGGCCCUACGGGUUGUAAACUUCUUUUGUCAGGGAGCAAUUGGGUCCACGCGUGGGCUUAGCGAGAGUACCUGAAGAAAAAGCAUCGGCUAACUCCGUGCCAGCAGCCGCGGUAAUACGGAGGAUGCGAGCGUUAUCCGGAUUUAUUGGGUUUAAAGGGUGCGUAGGCGGAAUAUCAAGUCAGCGGUAACAAUUCGGGGCUCAACCCCGUCGUGCCGUUGAAACUGAUGUUCUUGAGUGGGCGAGAAGUAUGCGGAAUGCGUGGUGUAGCGGUGAAAUGCAUAGAUAUCACGCAGAACUCCGAUUGCGAAGGCAGCAUACCGGCGCCCAACUGACGCUGAAGCACGAAAGCGUGGGUAUCGAACAGGAUUAGAUACCCUAGUAGUC